ACCUGGGUGGCUUAGUUGGUUAAGCGUCUGACUUCAGCUCAGGUCAUGAUCUCGCGGUCCAUGAGUUCGAGUCCCGUGUCGGGCU
rnacentral:tRNA from 1 species